GCAGAAAUGAGUGACCAAGCAGAAAAAAGCAGUUCCGUGCGAGAGAGACCUGCACGUCCAAGUUCUCCUGAGAAACCAAGUGAGAUGGAACUGAAGCAGAUGAAACGGGUGGAGCGGCAGUUAAAACGGUUGUCAUUUCAAAAUCCUGGGCCUCAGGUAGCCGACUUUAACCCUAAAUUAAGGCAGCUGAUAAAGGAAGGGCAAAUGGCAAGGAAGAAUGAGUUUGUUCCUGUAAAACGCGAAGUCAACAAGUAUGACCAAAAGGGCAGGCUCACCUUCAAUCAGGCUGACCUGUGUGACUGCCUUGAUGAAGACUGCCAGGGUUGCUUCUACCCGUGCCCCAAGUGUAACUCCACCAAGUGCGGGCCCACUUGCCGCUGCAACCGCCGCUGGGUCUACCACACCAUAGUCGACGAGAGUGGGGAGGUCAUCAGCAAGAUGCCAUUCGACCUCUCCGACUAGGAGCAGCCCUCCAGGCUGAUCCAGUUUCUCUGCUUUGCAGUUACACCAGCCUCUGUCUCCUGGGUGAAUUUUAGGACUGGGGGAAAAAAGUUUUAAAAAUAUAGUUUAGACUAGUUAGUGUUCUCUGAAGCCAUAGAACCAAGUCCUUCUCUAACCUUCCUGCUGUGAUGACUCAGAUUCCUCCCCUGGUAACCAGCAACUCCAUUCCUACUCUGCUCUCGGGUUAAAAAUCCCUUUCCUCUUUGCUGGUACCUUAGGAGAUGGAGUUUUAGAAUUCUGUAGCUGAGAGCUUGUCUUGACAAAGAACAUAUGUUUAUAAUAGUUACCGUUAGGAUCUUACACAUCAUCAAUUCUAAAUCAGAAUUCUAUUUGGAUUGACUUGGCACGGCAUACUCAUAGUCUCGUGUUUUUAGUGUUACUGUUUUAACAAUAUUAAAAUGAAAUUUGUUUUUUUUUUUUUUUUAAAAAAACUUUAAUAGGCCCCAUGGCCACAUGGCCCAACAUAUGAGCACAAAAGCAGAGAUUCAGUUUAAGUGAUAUCUAAAAUGCCCACUGGAAGCACACUUGCAAGGACAAAUUUUAAUCUAUUGUUACAUAGAAAUGAUUUAAAAGCAUUUUUUUGGUGGCUAAGGUUACCAGCCACACAGAACUGGCCAAUGUGGUACAAAAUUCCUAAGGCCUAAGUUGCAUUUUGUCUUGGAUGUAUAGGAUUUAAGGAAAUUCAGCUAGAGUUUCUGCUGACCUCAGUGAAGAUACCAUCUCAGAAGACUGAUUUGAAACAUCUGGGCCAGGUUUGGCAGCUAUUGUGCAAAACUGUUUUUAGGAAAAAUCUCUAUGAAACUGUUCACACCCACAGCGUCAUCAGGAAAGUUUCUCUUCAGUCAUCUUUGAUACCAAGUUUUAUUCAAAUGAUCUGUUAGAAGAAAAUUGCUUUUUCCACUUUUCCAUGUUUACUUCUCAUGAACAUUUAAUUGCUUCUUCUGAAGCUUUGGAUUCAGCACAAAGAGACUUUCCACUGAACACAGUUUUGCAGGCACUGGCUGAGGCUGCAGACGUAAUGGGCUAAAAAUAGACAAAGGCCCCUAUCUCUAUCCCACCAAAUGGCCAUGUAUGUUUACCCACUAGAAAAUAUUCACCUGAGACCACUUUUGCCUCUGACUAACUCACCCAAAAUCUCUGUGUGGCAAAUUUAUUAAUAAAAAGCAUUUAAUUUUC